rnacentral:rRNA from 1 species
CCGCCGGCGACCGGCGCACGGGUGACUAACACGUAUGCAACCUGGCCGUGACAGAUGGAUAACCGGGAGAAAUCCCGCCUAAUACAACAUAAUGCCGGGAGGGGACAUCCCCUGCCGGCCAAAGGGGGCGACCCCGGUCACGGAUGGGCAUGCGGCGCAUUAGGUAGUUGGUGGGGCAACGGCCCACCAAGCCGACGAUGCGUAGGGGUUCUGAGAGGAAGGUCCCCCACAUUGGAACUGAGACACGGUCCAAACUCCUACGGGAGGCAGCAG